GGAGCAGACCCGGCUCUGUCGCCGCUGGAGCAGCUGCGGCUCGGGGACCCACAGACACAGCCGGGGUCGGGAGCCGCCCGGGGCAGGGCUCGGGAGAGCUGGUGAGUUCCCCGGCGGCGCCGCCUCCCUCCUUGCCCUCUGCGGCUUCGCGGGGCGGGGGAUGAGGAUGGGGCGGGGAGGUGGUCCCAGCCUCCGAUCACCUAAGCUGGGGGCCAGGGCGCUUUGGCCAAGGGACGGUAGCUUAAGAUAUAAAUGGGAGUGUGGGGACUCUGGAAAGGCAGGUACCGAGGGCGCUGGAUCCGGGAGCCGGGAGGAGCGCCCCCGAGCGCCGAGGAUGGGCAGAGACGUGCAGCGCCCCAGAGAGGUCGCCCAGAGGGGUCUCGCCAAGGUCACCCGGAGUGCCCAGACUGAGCUGCCCAGACCGCCCCGGGUGGAGAGCGGGGAGGGGCAGGCGCUCGCUGCCCGCCUCCUUCCCCCAUGCAGACUCCCUUCCUCCGCUCCCCCUCCCCGGCCUGGCCUCCAGCUUCACUGGAGAUGCUGAUGAUGCAGCUCCCAGCCCUUGGUGGAUAAUUGAGCCUGGGAGAGCUUUGAAUCUGGCCCUCUCGAGACCCCAGGGCUGUGCCGCUGCCGCGCGACAGGCCUGGGUCCCGGUGCUCCCGGGCACCUCAGGAGCGGAGGGAGAGGGAUGUGGCUUCAUCAGCGCUUCUAGGAACGGAAAACCGAGCUGCCUGCGCGCCCAUGUGAUUGCACUUCACAUAAAGGGCCCCUGUUCUCACUGUCAGAAGCGCCCCCCAGCUCUCCGCGGCUCGGGGCACCAGGUGUCGCCUCUGAAUCACCCUCUGUGGAGGACCCGGGGCCCGGAGGUACCAGGCGCCCUUUCCCGCAGGGCUCUCCCUGGAAAGGGCCUGCCGAUGGCGGCCUCAGUCCGCAGGGGUACUUCCCUGUGUACUCUGCCAUUUCCUGCGGCUGGUGAAGCACUGGAGAAAAACCCUCCAUCUAGGAGGCCUCCUCCAAGGCUGGUAAUAAAGCUUCUUAGCUCAGCCAGCGACUAGCUCUCUACUCGUGGGCAAAGUACUUGGCCUCUGGAGUCUCAACUGCCUCUAAGAAACUGGGGCUAACAGCCGCCAGGCUGUGGGGAGAUGAGGGAGAGGCUGGGUGCAGCAGAGCCGGAGGAUGAACACUCCUUGGCCAAUACUGGCCGCCCUCGGGAUUGGCUAUGAGUGGGGCGUGUCUCUCUUAGACAGGUGCAGAAGUGGAGCCCUGGUGGGUGGUUCUGCAGGGGCUGGGGGAGUUUCCACAUCUUCCUCCCCCAGCUCUGUCAUAAAAAGCCAGCUUGCAGGAGGCCGGUGGGGGCCAGCAAAUCUUUCCAGCCGGCUGCCUGCUCACACGGCCCUUCCCACACAAAUCUCCCAUGCCCUUCUCUCCCACCUGUCACCCAAAUCCAAUCUUCCUGGCUGAGUCCCCAGGAUGCUGGGGGCAAGGUGUCAACCAGGCCACCCUGGACCAUCAACUCUGUACCUACUUGUCUACUGGGGUCUACCUAACAGUGUCCCCCUGUCCUGGAACCUUCCUGGCCCCAGCUCUUCCCAGCCUCUGGAAUGUCUUCUUUCCUUUCUUUUGGUCUCCUACCACCGUGGCAUUCAUUAGUGGCUCUGUGGUUCAUGUGUCAAGGGCCCCGUGCCAUCUGUGCUCUCCAGAUAAUCCGUGGCCUGGAAAGAUGUGGUAGGCAAGGCCCUGUGCCCACUCAGACUUUGCUCUCUCUGGUAAUUGACGGUGGAGCGGAAGUUAAAUUCUAAUCUGGCUGUUAAGUCAUUUCAGGAGCUUGAGCCACAGGACUAAGAGGAUGCUGACGUAGGGAGGUGGUUUUUCCUUAAAGCCAGAACCUUUCUCCUUUCUGCAGAGCCCAUUUGAGACCAUUGGAAACUAGGCCUAUGUGUAAUGGCCUCACAGAAUCCUCACAACCCCAUGAAGUAGGCAUUACUGAUUCCCAUUUUGCAGAUGGGAAAACUGGGGCUCAGCUCCUCUCAAAACCAGCUCCAUGCCCCAAGAGGAGCAACAGAGGCUGCAGCCAACCUGGUUUAGCAGAAGGCAGGAGGCACAUACCUGAAUUCAGGUGCCGUGUUUGGACUCUCAGGACCCCAUCCCUCCAACCUUUCCCUCCCCUUUUGCAACCUAACCACCACCCUUCCUGCACCCAGGACACUUGUCACAUUUGUUGAACAGUAGGUCCCAACUGGCACUCUUCCAGCAGAGACCAGGAAAACUGUCUUGAGUGCAUCUUAGCAACUGGGCUUCAAGGAGGGCUUGGACAAGCCUGCCUCUUACAGAAAGCUAUGAGUAUGAAGAGUGAGGGAGCCAGAGAUGUCUAAUUUUAAUUAGGGAUCUAUACCUAAAAGCUCCGUGACCCUGUAUACAUGACUUAAUCUCUCUGAGCAUGGUUUUCUCAUUUGUAAAACAGGUAUCAUAGUAAUGCCUACUUUGUGGGAUUGUAAGGAUUCCAUGAGACCAUUAACACAUAGAAAGUGCUCAGUACUAGGGCCGGGUGUAGUGGCUCACACCUGUAAUCCCAGCAUUUUGGGAGGCCAAGGCGGGAGGAUCACUAGAUGUCAGGAGUUCGAGACCAGCCGGCCAACAUGGUGAAACCCUGUCCCCACUAAAAAUACAAAAAUUAGCUCAGCAUGGUGGCGCAUGCCUGUAGUCCUAGCUACUUGGGAGGCUGAGGCACAAGAAUUGCUUGAACCCGGGAGGAGGAGGUUGCAAUGAGCCGAGAUCACACGACUGCCCUCCAGCCUGGGUGACAGACUGAGACUUCAUCUCAAAAAAAAAAAAAAAAAAAAAAA
ensembl:lncRNA